UGACAAUAAGCUGUACACCGGCUGCAAGAUGUCCUAUCAAGGUGGUACCACCACAGUGCUGGUCCAAUUAAGAAGAGAUGGAAUGCCUCAAAGGUCCUCAGCUUCGUAAGGUUGGCUUCUGAUCAUAUUGCUACCAAAGUGGCUGACAGUCACAAUUUAAAACCCGGAACCGCCUCAUGCAAUCAGGAGAUGAAAAACACGAAGGUUACAUAGCGACAUUAACCCCAGCGGGUGGGAAUCCCUUGCAGAAGACACCAGUGCCUGGAGACAGAGAGUCAGGUUGUGCAUCCAUACCAGUGACCACAGGAGGAAUGACUACUG
rnacentral:lncRNA from 1 species